rnacentral:rRNA from 1 species
CUGGACGCUCAUACCGGAGAGGUCACACCCGUUCCCAUUCCGAAUACGGCAGUUAAGCUCUCCAGGGCCGAUGGUACUGCACUCGCAAGGGUGUGGGAGAGUAGGUCGGUGUCCGGC